CUGGCUCAGGACGAACGCUGGCGGCGUGCUUAACACAUGCAAGUCGAACGGAGAACUUUCUUCGGAAUGUUCUUAGUGGCGAACGGGUGAGUAACGCGUAGGCAACCUGCCCUCUG
rnacentral:rRNA from 1 species